rnacentral:lncRNA from 1 species
GCCCCGGGCGCGCCGCCAGUCGGCCUAGAGUCCCCGGCGCGCACUUAUCGCUCUAGAUAUCUUGGCGCUUCCGAGUCCCCAGGGACUGGGCCGUGGUGGGAGAGGGAAAAGCACUGGACUAGCGGCGAGGACGCUCCUCGGUGAGGCGGAGGAAGGCCGGCCUUGAGAUGUAAAGGGCGCUGACAUAUUUGGGCGUCUCUUACAGUGUCUCUCCUGGCUUCGGAGCCUCGCCUUCCGCCGACGGGGUUUGCCUGGCUGUGGAGGGAGGGAUGUGGGCCGAGUGGAUGGCCUGGCCUCUCCGGUGUGACAGGUCCGUCACCACCCACCCGUCCCCGGGGCCCGGCGGCCUUUAGCCUUCGGUGCGUGGUCGGGCUUGGCGGCUCCAGGGCUGGGAGUUACAGUCCUUCCCUUCCGUGAGGGCGGGAAGAGCGAAAUGGUUCUGCCCGACAGGACUGGAAUUCAUGGAUUUGCUCAAACCUCUCCCUUGCUGCAGACACUGAGCCUGCACCACCUCUUCAGCCCACCACGGACGAGGCCUGUGUGUGUCUUUCAGGUGCGUGAAGACCUCAGGAGCCAAGUUUUCCAGGUCUUCACCUGUUGUCAGUUUGCACCAGCUGCUUCUCUCCACCUAACUCUGGGGUCCUUCCUGGGAAGUUAG